UGUGUUAGGCCUCCGAGUCUG
rnacentral:miRNA from 1 species